UACGUAGGUGGCAAGCGUUGUCCGGAUUUAUUGGGCGUAAAGCGCGCGCAGGUGGUUUCUUAAGUCUGAUGUGAAAGCCCUCGGCUUAACCGAGGAGGGUCAUUGGAAACUGGGAGACUUGAGUGCAGAAGAGGAAAGUGGAAUUCCAAGUGUAGCGGUGAAAUGCGUAGAUAUCCGGAGGAAUACCAAAGGCGAAGGCAGUGUCCUGGCUGGUAACUGACGCUCAGGUGCGAAAGCUAGGGGAGCGAACAGG
rnacentral:rRNA from 1 species